rnacentral:rRNA from 1 species
UACGUAGGUGGCGAGCGUUGUCCGGAUUUACUGGGCGUAAAGCGCGCGCAGGCGGACUGAUCAGUCUGGGGUGAAAUCUCACGGCUCAACUGUGAGCGGUCCCUGGAUACUGUCAGUCUUGAGAUGUCUAGAGGAGAGCGGAAUUCCCGGUGUAGUGGUGGAAUGCGUAGAUAUCAGGAGGAAUACCGAUGGCGAAGGCAGGUCUCUGGGCUGACACUGACGCUCAUGCACGAAAGCGUGGGGAGCAAACAGG